AACGAACGCUGGCGGCAUGCCUAACACAUGCAAGUCGAACGAGACCUUCGGGUCUAGUGGCGCACGGGUGCGUAACGCGUGGGAACCUGCCCUUAGGUUCGGAAUAACUCCCCGAAAGGGGUGCUAAUACCGGAUAAUGUCUUCGGACCAAAGAUUUAUCGCCUUUGGAUGGGCCCGCGUUGGAUUAGCUAGUUGGUAGGGUAAAAGCCUACCAAGGCGACGAUCCAUAGCUGGUCUGAGAGGAUGAUCAGCCACACUGGGCUGAGACACGGCCCAGACUCCUACGGGAGGCAGCAGUGGGGUAUAUUGGACAAUGGGCGAAAGCCUGAUCCAGCAAUGCCGCGUGAGUGAUGAAGGCCUUAGGGUUGUAAAGCUCUUUUACCCGGGAUGAUAAUGACAGUACCGGGAGAAUAAGCUCCGGCUAACUCCGUG
rnacentral:rRNA from 1 species